rnacentral:tRNA from 1 species
GGAGGGAUCGCAUAGAGGCCUAGUGCGGCCGCCUGCUAAGCGGUUUACCGGUGUGAGCUGGUACGUGGGUUCGAAUCCCACUCCCUCCGCCA